UACGGAGGGUGCGAGCGUUGUCCGGAAUCACUGGGCGUAAAGGGCGCGUAGGCGGCCUGAUAAGUAGGGGGUGAAAUCCUGCGGCUUAACCGCAGGGCUGCCUUCUAAACUGUCAGGCUAUAGCACAGUAGAGGCAGGUGGAAUUCCCGGUGUAGCGGUGGAAUGCGUAGAGAUCGGGAAGAACAUCAGUGGCGAAGGCGGCCUGCUGGGCUGUUGCUGACGCUGAGGCGCGACAGCGUGGGGAGCAAACAGG
rnacentral:rRNA from 1 species